rnacentral:tRNA from 2 species
GGCCCGUUCGUCUAGUGGUUAGGACGUCAGGUUUUCAUCCUGAAAACAGGGGUUCGAUUCCCCUACGGGCUGCCA